GACGGGUAGCCGGCCUGAGAGGGUGUCCGGCCACACUGGGACUGAGAUACGGCCCAGACUCCUACGGGAGGCAGCAGUGGGGAAUAUUGCACAAUGGGCGCAAGCCUGAUGCAGCGACGCCGCGUGGGGGAUGACGGCCUUCGGGUUGUAAACCUCUUUCACCAUCGACGAAGGUCCGGGUUCUCUCGGAUUGACGGUAGGUGGAGAAGAAGCACCGGCCAACUACGUGCCAGCAGCCGCGGUAAUACGUAGGGUGCGAGCGUUGUCCGGAAUUACUGGGCGUAAAGAGCUCGUAGGUGGUUUGUCGCGUUGUUCGUGAAAUCUCACGGCUUAACUGUGAGCGUGCGGGCGAUACGGGCAGACUAGAGUACUGCAGGGGAGACUGGAAUUCCUGGUGUAGCGGUGGAAUGCGCAGAUAUCAGGAGGAACACCGGUGGCGAAGGCGGGUCUCUGGGCAGUAACUGACGCUGAGGAGCGAAAGCGUGGGGAGCGAACAGGAUUAGAUACCCUGGUA
rnacentral:rRNA from 1 species